GUGAGGAAUAUUGGUCAAUGGGCGCAAGCCUGAACCAGCGACGCCGCGUGGGUGAUGAAGGCCUUCGGGUCGUAAAACCCUUUUCUGUGUGACGAGCAAGGACGGUAGCACAGGAAUAAGUCUCGGCUAACUACGUGCCAGCAGCCGCGGUAAAACGUAGGAGACAAGCGUUAUCCGGAAUUACUGGGCGUAAAGCGCGAGUAGGCGGAUCAGCAAGUCCUUUGUGAAAGCUUCCGGCUAAACUGGAAGAGGUCGAAGGAUACUGCCGGUCUAGAGUGGGGUAGAGGGACACGGAAUUCCGGGUGUAGUGGUGAAAUGCGUAGAGAUCCGGAGGAACACCAGUGGCGAAGGCGGUGUCCUGGGCCUCAACUGACGCUAAGGCGCGAAAGCAUGGGGAGCGAACGGGAUUAGAAACCCGAGUAGUCC
rnacentral:rRNA from 1 species